CCUACGGGUGGCAGCAGUGGGGAAUAUUGCGCAAUGGGCGAAAGCCUGACGCAGCGACGCCGCGUGAGGGAUGAAGGUCUUCGGAUCGUAAACCUCUGUCAGCAGGGAAGAACGGUCACUGUGCUAAUCAGCAGUGAAUUGACGGUACCUGCAAAGGAAGCACCGGCUAACUCCGUGCCAGCAGCCGCGGUAAUACGGAGGGUGCGAGCGUUAAUCGGAAUUACUGGGCGUAAAGCGCUCGUAGGAGGUAUGUCAAGUCAAGGGGGAAAUCCCCGCGCUCAACGUGGGAACUGCAUUUGAAACUGGCAAACUGGAGUGUGUGAGAGGAUAGUGGAAUUCCAGGUGUAGGAGUGAAAUCCGUAGAUAUCUGGAGGAACAUCAGUGGCGAAGGCGACUAUCUGGCACAUAACUGACGCUGAGGAGCGAAAGCGUGGGUAGCAAACAGGAUUAGAUACCCCAGUAGUC
rnacentral:rRNA from 1 species